CCUACGGGGGGCAGCAGUCGCGAAAACUUCACAAUGGGGGCAACCCCGACGAGGGAAUUCCAAGUGCUAGCACUUUGUGUUAGCUGUUCUUCUGUCUAAAAAACAGGAGGAGUAAGGGGCGGGUAAGACGGGUGCCAGCCGCCGCGGUAAUACCCGCGCCCCAAGUGGUGGUCGAUAUUAUUGAGCCUAAAACGUCCGUAGCCGGUCUUCUAAAUCCUUGGGUAAAUCGGGCAGCUUAACUGUCCGAAGUCCGGGGAGACUGGGAGACUUGGGACCGGGAGAGGUCAGAGGUACUUCUGGGGUAGGGGUAAAAUCCUGUAAUCCUGGAAGGACCACCGGUGGCGAAGGCGUCUGACUAGAACGAAUCCGACGGUGAGGGACGAAGCCCUGGGGCGCAAACGGGAUUAGAUACCCGGGUAGUCC
rnacentral:rRNA from 1 species